rnacentral:rRNA from 1 species
CGCGUAGGCGGCUUGUCGGGUCUGAUGUGAAAGCCCGGGGCUCAACCCCGGAAGUGCAUUGGAAACUGGCAAGCUUGAGUUCGGAAGAGGAGGGCAGAAUUCCCGGUGUAGGGGUGGAAUCCGUAGAUAUCGGGAGGAAAACCAGUGGCGAAGGCGGCCCUCUGGGACGAAACUGACGCUAAGGCGCGAAAGCGUGGGGAGCAAACA